rnacentral:misc_RNA from 1 species
AAAACAACCACCUUAAACCCCCAAAUCCACCAGAUCUUAGCCCUCACUACCAACAACCAAGACCCACAGGAAAGAAACAAAACGCCAUUACACUGCUGCAAUUCCGACCAGCUACACCACCUAUCGUACUUCUUUUUCAGAUCCACCGGUGAGCUCGAAGCUCGCCACCACCAGACCACCCUCGUACCAGGCCCAGUCCCCUUCCUCUUUCACGUUUUCUUCUCCCUUUUAUUGGUGUUCUGGCUUAAAGUCGAGCUCCGAGAGACGGCGACACAACUCUAAACGGAACCAGAUCAUCAACACUGUUGCUCCUCCAAUGAGCUACAACCACAAGAGCCAUGAACUCCGGCAAACAAAU